rnacentral:rRNA from 1 species
GAGGGGAGUUUAGCCGGGAAGUUUGUGUCUAAAAAGAG